UACGUAGGGUGCGAGCGUUGUCCGGAAUUAUUGGGCGUAAAGAGCUUGUAGGCGGUUUGUCGCGUCUGCUGUGAAAUCUCAAGGCUCAACCUUGAGCCUGCAGUGGGUACGGGCAGACUAGAGUGCGGUAGGGGAGACUGGAAUUCCUGGUGUAGCGGUGAAAUGCGCAGAUAUCAGGAGGAACACCGAGUGGCGAAGGCAGCCUCCUGGCCGAACACUGACGCUCGAUGACACGAAAGACGUGGGGAGCAAACGGG
rnacentral:rRNA from 1 species